CCUCGAAGAUUUUGGGGAUCAACUGCCCCCACUCGCUCGCUCUCCUUCCGGCCGGCCCCUCAGCCAGAGAUCUGAUUAGAUUCUCAUCACAACCCAGUGCGCAAUCGGAUUUCUGAUUUCAGCCGCCCGCCGGGGCGAGCCGCCUUCCUCCCCGCUCCCCGCCAGCUCGGCCGGCUGCCGUCUCCUUCCCUCCGCAAUUUCAGGAUCUCACGCAUGCCAGUUUUUCAUCCGGAAACCUAGGAGUUUUAAGCUAUAAAGAGGAAAAACAGUGAAAUCAAAUCACCACUAGGAUUCAAAAUUAUCACCAGGCACACAAAGCUGUUGCUUUCGGAUUGCAGGGGUAACAUGGUGACAACGUCUAAGACCAUCAUCAGCAUACAGAGUGUCAUCAUCAACACUGAUUCCCAGAGGGUUUGUUAUUUGCUCAUGAACAAUGGUACUACAGAGGUCACUGGAGAAAUUCAACUCCACCAUCUCAGCCUUCCUUAGUUGGCCCUGGCAUAUUUCUUGGCAAUUUCAGAAGUUCAAGGGAAUAAACAGGGAAAGGUGUUUGUAUGAGAGGUAGAGGGACAUCACUGUGGCAUGUUAAAUUAAUGAAUGACAUGACAAAUUUACCAAAGACAUCCCAAGGACAGACAGUAUGCAGAUGAAUCUCAAAAGAAGAACAAUGGGAUGAAGGAGAGAAACUGGGAACUGACUGGAGGUUAUGAAAACCUAAGGCAGUAGUUUUGGAGCUGGGAAAAAAAAAAAAAAAAAAAAAAACAAAAAAAAAAAAACUUCUGUAUGCAGAAUGUCUUGUGCCAGAGUCUACACAAUUUUAUUAUUUUGCUUUAAUACUGUUUGUUCCUAUGCAUGAAUGUCUUCUUUGGAGGCACCACAAAAUCUUCCUUCAGUAUAAUGAAAUGUUUUCUACAAAUGUUGCUGUCUGGUAAUGCAAUGGGUUGCCGGCAAGGUCCACUCAGUUUGCUCCAACAUAGGCUGCUAGCUGUGCCUACUCCUCCCAGCAAUUUUAAAUUAAAUCUACAGUUUCUAAGCAUCAUUGCUGAUAAAAUAUGGCCUUCUAUAGCAAAAUGAGAGAGCUAAGUUCAAAAUUAAGUAGAAGAUGGACUUAUUUACUAGUAGAAUUUGGAGCAAAAACUCUUCAAUUGGGUGUCAAUUUUUCCGAAUUUUUUAAUAAUUAUAACUUGUGGUUCUUUUCAUUAUUUGAUUUGAUUUGAUUUGAUUUUAAAAUAAAAUAUCCAGCAAAUUGGAAAGCUGGGAACAAUU